AUAUAAGGAAACUGCCUGUUAAUUAUUAUGAUCUACCUUUUGUCCCUCGUUUGGAUAAGUAAGAAAGCCAUUGUAAUCUUACAUACUGAUUCAUGGUUCUAAAUAUAAGAGAACCUUUCUCAUAUAAAAACAAACAAACAAACAAACAAAAGAAACCACCAGCACAGUGGAAUUGGGGGUCACAAGUUCAGGGCAUGACUGGCUUACAUAAAGAACAGUCUGCUCCAUAUGAGACAUACCAACAUUCCCUAGCAACCAGUCCAAAUCUGACAGAAAUUAAAC
rnacentral:lncRNA from 1 species